rnacentral:lncRNA from 1 species
UCUAAACAUUAUUGAAACAUUGCCAGAUAACAGGAAAAACUGUGAUAUUAAAAUAGUACCUUGGCCUUGCUUAGCUUCAAUUCUAUCAUUUAUAAAAUGGGAAUAAUUUUUAUAAUAACACAUGAUAGGUGCCAACUCAGCCCUCACUCCUUUUUUGAAAUUGUCCUCCAUGUAACCCAUACUGAAAGUAUAAACUAUGUUUAUACCAUGUGACUCUUUCACCCCUUUCCCA